rnacentral:rRNA from 1 species
AUUGAACGCUGGCGGCAGGCCUAACACAUGCAAGUCGAACGAGUGGCGGACGGGUGAGUAAUGUCUGGGAAACUGCCUGAUGGAGGGGGAUAAAUACUGGAAACGGUAGCUAAUACCGCAUACCAUCGGAUGUGCCCAGAUGGGAUGAGCUGGUGGGGGGGGUAACGGCUAACCAAGGCGACGAUCCCUAGCUGGUCUGGGAGGAUGACCGGCCACACUGGACCUGAGACACGGCCCAGACUCCUACGGGAGGAAGCAUUGGGGAAUAUUGCACAAUGGGGGCAAGCCUGAUACAGCCAUGCCGCGUGUAUGAAGAGGGCCUUCGGGUUGUAAAGCACUUUCAGCGGGGAGGCGUUACCCGCAGAAGAAGCACCGGCUAACUCCGUGCCAGCAGCCGCGGUAAUUC